UCGAGAAUUUUUCACAAUGGGCGCAAGCCUGAUGGAGCGACGCCGCGUGGGGGAUGAAGGGUUUCGAUCCGUAAACCCCUGUCAUUUGCGAACAAACCUCGGAUGAUAACACCGUCCGAGCUGAUUGUAGUGAAAGAGGAAGGGACGGCUAACUCUGUGCCAGCAGCCGCGGUAAUACAGAGGUCCCAAGCGUUGUUCGGAUUCACUGGGUGUAAAGGGUGCGUAGGUGGCCAGGUAAGUUUGGUGUGAAAGCUCGGAGCUUAACUUCGAAAUGGCAUUGAAUACUACUUGGCUUUGAGGGUCGGAGGGGAGACUGGAAUUCUCGGUGUAGCAGUGAAAUGCGUAGAUAUCGAGAGGAACACCAGUGGCGAAGGCGAGUCUCUGGACGACACCUGACACUGAGGCACGAAAGCUAGGGGAGCAAACAG
rnacentral:rRNA from 1 species